GAAGUUUGGUGAUUAGGGUCACACAAUGGGCCCUGGCUUAUCUGACACCGAACUGUCCCCUCUCUGUAGCGUCAGUCCGUCCCCCAACUCACAAAGAUAAGCAGUGCCUUGGCGAGUGUAGGAAGAAGAAAACAAUCAUCUUUCCAGACUCCUUUGUAGAGAGACAGCCCAGAGACUCAGUUCUGCCUGGAGAGAUAUAAAUGACAGUCCCAGGUUGGGACUUGUCGGAACGCUCUUUAAAAGAGAAAGAUCUGGCUGACAUGCACUCUCCUUACUCCUGGAACAUUGACACGAUGCCUGGAAGAACAGCAAUGAGCCAUGAAGAUAAAAGCUUCACACCAAGACUGCCAAACCAGAAAAUAUAAGGAGACUAAAUCCUGAAUGAUGAUGGUGAGUCCAGCAGGCUAAAAGAAGACUGCUUGCUAUAUUGAAAGUGGUGGUGGUGAUAAAAAGUAUGGUCAAGAAUUCUUCAAAAUGCCUGGAGGAAAUAAUUCAGAAUAUCGAAAUUUAUACUGCCUGGCUCCUAUGAUGUUGCAAUAAUAAGAGAAUUUGUGAAGGCUAAUUCAACUGUAGCUCUGAAUGGUUCGGAGUGUUUCAUUUCAGGCAAUUCGUCAGACAAGACAUCCUGAAAAUCUCCCACAAACACCAAGAAUGCUAGCUAAAACAUGAAAGCAAAAAACACAACUUUUAAACUGAAUGGAUGGGUUUGCAAGAAAGUGAAAGGUAUCCUGAGUCCUGGCAACAGGCGGGAGAUCUCGCGCAUGGAAGAAGUGAGAAUGGAAGUCACUAGUUUUAGGGAUCUCUGUGAAUCCAGACAUCCAGAGCUUUGACUUCGGGACUGAAAAUAGAGGUGGGGUGGGAUGGGGAAGUUGGGGACAAAGGCUCGGGCCUGUGUAAAGAAGGGAGUGGAUCACUGACUGUCCUACAUAAAGUUAGGAACCAUGAAGAGCUACAUUUUUUUUUUAAAAAACCCUUAAUAAAGAGAUAGCAAUAAAUUUGUCUUCAACUUGGAAUAUGAAUGGAUAUAAAAAUCUUUGAGAAUUUGCAGCCAGAGCCCAAGUGUCCUGUAAGUCCAGGACCUGAAUUUACACCGUGUAUCAUCUGAUGGUAGCAGUGAAGGCAAGUCUUCCCAGCAGGGAGGGCACUCUCCAAACCAGGCCUCAAAGCGUCUUCACAGAUCAAACUCCAAAGCAUACGAGCAAACAGUAACACACAUGCUACAUAAAGAAAGAAGGCACCAUGAGCAAGAGUCAGCAGGAGAAAAAUAGAUCCUCAAAGACUUCAGGUAUUACAAAUAUCAGGUAGAGAUUAUAAAUUAUGUUUUAUGUGUUUCUAAAAGUAGGACUUGAAACAUAAGUAAGAACAAAGUAACAAAAUGAUCAGCACGCUUGAGUUUUAAAGAAAGAACGUUUAAGAAUAAAUAUAUAUGUAAUAAUAGAUGUUAAAAAUUUGUUGAAAGUUCGAACAUAGAAAAAGCUGAAAAGUAAGUCUGUGAACUGAAAUAGAGACCAGAAGAAAUUGCACUGACUACAAAACAGAGAGAUACAGAGAUAUAAAGUGUAAGAGGGAGGUUGUGACUUGUGGAGGUUACAAUCGUCCAUCAUCUGUCUAAAGAGAAUGGUGUAGGGGCAACAUUUGAAGAUGCAAGGAUAGAAUUUUCUAUAAGCAAUUAAAACACAUGAAGGGAAGACGGAAGAAAUUAUAUUCCAAACUUCUGAUAUUACCCUUUAUAAGGCGAAGGGAGGCUGGAAGAGAGAAGUGUGCAUAUGGGAGGUAUUUAUGUGGAUGCAUAUGUGAGUGUUGUAUGAGCUUAAUGAUUAUUGUACCAUCUCAUUCCAAUGGGAGAAUUUUCUUUAUCCUGGGUUUUUUGCUUAUUUAUUCUGUCUUUCCCUGCCUUUAUGUCCUUAAUGGCAUUCUAUGUUUUGGUAGAUAUGUGUUGUAUUUCUUUCAUUCUAUUCUUUCUGCUGUUUAAAAUUGUAGAUUUGGUGGGGCAUGGUGGCUCGUGCCUGUAAUCUCUGCAUGCUGGGAGGUUGAGUUGGGAGGAUACUGUGAGCUGAGGAGUUCAAGACCAGCCUGAGCAAGAGUGAGAUCCCUGCCUCUG